rnacentral:rRNA from 1 species
GAUGAACGCUGGCGGCGUGCCUAAUACAUGCAAGUCGAGCGAACAGACGAGGAGCUUGCUCCUCUGACGUUAGCGGCGGACGGGUGAGUAACACGUGGAUAACCUACCUAUAAGACUGGGAUAACUUCGGGAAACCGGAGCUAAUACCGGAUAAUAUAUUGAACCGCAUGGUUCAAUAGUGAAAGACGGUUUUGCUGUCACUUAUAGAUGGAUCCGCGCCGCAUUAGCUAGUUGGUAAGGUAACGGCUUACCAAGGCAACGAUGCGUAGCCGACCUGAGAGGGUGAUCGGCGACACUGGAAGUGAGCCACGGGCCAGGCUCCUACGGGAGGCAGCAGUAGGGAGUCUUCCGCAAUGGGCGAAAGCCAGACGGAGCCACGACGAGUGAGUGAUGAAAGUCGUCGGAUCGUAAAACUCUGUUAUGAGGGAAGAACAAAUGAGUAAGUAACUAUGCACGUCUUGACGGUACCUAAUCAGAAAGCCACGGCUAACUACGUG